rnacentral:rRNA from 1 species
UGGGUGACCUGCCCUUCACUCUUGGGAUAAGCCUGGGAAACUGGGUCUAAUACCGGAUAUUCACGUCUGUCCUGCAUGGGGUGGUGUGGAAAGUUUUUUCGGUGGGGGAUGGGCCCGNGGCCUAUCAGCUUGUUGGUGGGGUGAUGGCCUACCAAGGCGGCGACGGGUAGCCGGCCUGAGAGGGCGACCGGCCACACUGGGACUGAGACACGGCCCAGACUCCUACGGGAG